rnacentral:rRNA from 1 species
UGAGGAAUUUUGCGCAAUGGAGGAAACUCUGACGCAGCAACGCCGCGUGAGUGAAGAAGGCCCUCGGGUUGUAAAGCUCUGUCAGGUGGGAAGAACCCUCUGUAGUUGAAUAGGCUACAGAACUGACGGUACCUCUGAAGGAAGCACCGGCUAACUCCGUGCCAGCAGCCGCGGUAAUACGGAGGGUGCGAGCGUUAAUCGGAAUCACUGGGCGUAAAGCGCACGUAGGCGGUGUCGUAAGUCGGAUGUGAAAGCCCUCGGCUCAACCGGGGAACUGCAUUCGAUACUGUUGUUCUUGAGUACACGUGGAGUGGGCGGAAUGUGUCAUGUAGCGGGGAAAUGCUUAGAUAUGACACAGAACACCGAUCGCGAAGGCAGCUCACUAAGUUGUAACUGACGCUCAGGCACGAAAGCGUGGGGAUCAAACA